rnacentral:rRNA from 1 species
ACUCAAAUGAAUUGACGGGGGCCCGCACAAGCGGCGGAGCAUGCGGAUUAAUUCGAUGCAACGCGAAGAACCUUACCUGGGUUUGACAUACACCGGAAGCCCCCAGAGAUGGGGGUCUCUUUGAUACUGGUGUACAGGUGGUGCAUGGCUGUCGUCAGCUCGUGUCGUGAGAUGUUGGGUUAAGUCCCGCAACGAGCGCAACCCUCGUUCCAUGUUGCCAGCAAUUCGGUUGGGGACUCAUGGGAGACUGCCGGGGUCAACUCGGAGGAAGGUGGGGAUGACGUCAAGUCAUCAUGCCCCUUAUGUCCAGGGCUUCACGCAUGCUACAAUGGCCGGUACAAAGGGCUGCGAUCCUGUAAGGGUGAGCGAAUCCCAAAAAGCCGGUCUCAGUUCGGAUUGGGGUCUGCAACUCGACCCCAUGAAGUCGGAGUCGCUAGUAAUCGCAGAUCAGCAACGCUGCGGUGAAUACGUUCCCGGGCCUUGUACACACCGCCCGU